CAAGCCCUAAGCAUUUUCAAAAUCUACCCGUGCACAAUAUUAUUAAAAAUCAACAAAAAAACAAGCACAUCAUAAGGAGCAUUCCACAAAAAAUCUCAUUCAAUUUGGACAAGUGGUUUAGGAGAUAUGAUUUUUUCAUGUGGAAGAAAAAACAAAAAAAAUGUAAUGAAGGCAUGGUGAAAUCAUGAAGCAUAUGAAAAAUUAAUUGGCAAGGCAAAAUGGAAAUGGCGCUACAGCGGGACUCGAAGGGAGGUCCACUUUUAAAA
rnacentral:lncRNA from 1 species